AUUGAACGCUGGCGGCAGGCCUAACACAUGCAAGUCGAACGAGUGGCGGACGGGUGAGUAAUGUAUGGGAAACUGCCUGAUGGAGGGGGAUAACUACUGGAAACGGUAGCUAAUACCGCAUACCAUCGGAUGUGCCCAGAUGGGAUUAGCUAGUAGGUGGGGUAACGGCUCCCCUCGGCGACGAUCCCUAGCUGGCCUGAGAGGAUGACCAUCACCAAGUGAACUGUGACACGGUCCAGAUUCCUACGUGAGGCUGCAGGGGGGAAUAUUGUACAAUGGGAGCAAGCCUGAUGAAGCCAUGCCGCGUGUAUGAAGAAGGCCUUCGGGUUGUAAAGUACUUUCAGCGGGGAUGCGUUACCCGCAGAAGAAGCACCGGCUACCUCCGUGCCAGCCGCCGCGGUAAAAC
rnacentral:rRNA from 1 species